CCCGGCUGCUGCGCCUGAGCCCCAAGACCCCCGCACCUGGGCGCGCGCUCUGGCGCAGUGCCUGGUGCGAUGUCCGCGUCAGCCUCUCUCCUCCGGGAGAGGCAGGGAGUGUGACGCCCAUUUUACCAGCGGGCAAACUGAGGCUUAGGGAUGCUGGGUGAUUUGCCCGAGGACGCACACAGAGGGAAGGGCCAAGCCGGGAUUCCAACUCGGGACUCCCCGCUUCUGGGGAGACCGGUGAGGCCCCCGCGACAUGGCCCUCCCAUCCCCAAGCCUCUCGUGCAGAUCUCCGCUCUGUGGGACUUGAUUGCGGGCUGCGGGCCCGUGGCUCCUGCAGGCAGAGAGAGGACGGGAGAGGAGACGGCUACGAGGCUUGGCUACGGUGCUCCCGCAACAAGGAACCGGAAACCCUCUUCGUUUGUUGAUCUAAAUAUACAAAAAUAAAACUAGUUGCUGGGUUCUCAGACGGAGUCUCUGCGGCAUUAGGAGGCCCACCCUUAUUUUCUCUUUUCUUCACGCAGGAAUCAGGUCCCUGGCCUGGGGGCGGCAAAAGGAGAUGGCGGUGGGUCAAGUGGGCGCGCAGGCUCAGACCUGGGGCUUCUGAGCCCACGCCCAGGUAUCUCGGACCUCUCACUUCUGAGGCCACCUCCUGCCCUUUAGAAUGAAGGGCUGGCACAGUUCUGCCAGGAUGCACGUUUAGUGACUUCUGUCAGACUGAAGCAUCCCCUCGCCGCAAGCGCCUGAAGUGUGAGAGGCACUGUUCUAAGUGCUUUAAUUCGCACUUGUUUAAUCCUCACAGGAGUCAACUUGAAUGGGCACACUUAUUCCCACUUUACAGAAGAGGAAACUGGGGCACAGAAAGACUGAGUAAUUGCUCAGGGGGCAUGCUCCAAGAAAGAGGGAGAGACAGGAUUUGGACCCAGACAGGCUGGCUCCCUAGUGCUCUGGACUUUGGUGUGGAUGAUCCAACUCAAGCCUUCUCCUUUUUCCCUCCUAUGUGAUCUUGCAUGCGUUUGUGCAGAGAAUGAGAAGGCAGAUCAAAGUUACAGAUGCUGCGAGAACAUCACCAAGCAGAAUCUUGGGUGCUGUCCCCACCUCUCUGUACCUGCUCCCUCCCAGAGAAGCCAGCCUCCACUUGCUGUCCCGGGCCUUCUCUAUCUGAAAAAAGUUGAAGGAGCACAUGUCCUUGCGCAGGAAGAGGCUGUUCAGCGUGACCGCCCCGAU
rnacentral:lncRNA from 1 species